rnacentral:rRNA from 1 species
UCCGUAGGUGAACCUGCGGAAGGAUCAUUACAUGAUAGUACAGGCCCGAAGCUGUAGCAAUACACGCCCAAAGGCUCAUGUCUAUUACCCUUGUUUAUCGAGCACCUAUGUUUCCUUGGUGGGCUUGCCCGCCAAUAGGACACCCCAUUAACCCAUUUUAUUUUGAAUCAGCGUCUGAAUAAAUUGAAUAAUUACAACUUUCAACAACGGAUCUCUUGGUUCUGGCAUCGAUGAAGAACGCAGCGAAAUGCGAUAAGUAGUGUGAAUUGCAGAAUUCAGUGAAUCAUCGAAUCUUUGAACGCACAUUGCGCCCCUUGGUAUUCCAUGGGGCAUGCCUGUUCGAGCGUCAUUUGUACCUUCAAGCUAUGCUUGGUGUUGGGUGUUUGUCCUCUCCCCUGCGUUUGGACUCGCCUUAAAGUCAUUGGCAGCCUGUAUACUGGUUUUGAGCGCAGCACAUUUUGCGUCUUGCAUCUAGUAAUACUAGCAUCCAUCAAGCCCUUUAUCACUUUUGACCUCGGAUCAGGUAGGGAUACCCGCUGAACUUAAGCAUAUCAAUAAGCGGAGGGAAGUCGGACUGGCCAAGGGGCACACCAGGGGGGGGGGAUA